rnacentral:rRNA from 1 species
UACGGGGGGAGCAAGCGUUGUUCGGAUUUACUGGGCGUAAAGGGCGCGUAGGCGGCCAGCACAAGUCAGUUGUGAAAUCUCCGAGCUUAACUCGGAAAGGUCAACUGAUACUGUGCGGCUAGAGUGCGGAAGGGGCAACUGGAAUCUUGGUGUAGCGGUGAAAUGCGUAGAUAUCAAGAGGAACACCUGCGGCGAAGGCGGGUUGCUGGGCCGAUACUGACGCUGAGGAGCGAAAGCGUGGGGAGCAAACAGG